GGGGGAAUUCCUUGAUUAUGCUAAUACCGCCUAGAGAUAGGGGUAGGACGAUCAAUUGUAUUUUGCUUCUGUUUAUCAUGCAUUAUUGGUUACUAGGGGAGGCUAGAGAUAACAAGCCAUUAAUUUGGUAAUAGACUCUUUUCGCCAAGAGAUUGGGUUAGGGUAGACUAAGAAAGUUUGCAUGACAAUAUGAUAAAUAAGCUAAGAAGAUAAGAAAAGUAGAUAUAAGAGGGUGGAUAAGAUGAAAUGUAAAGGAUGCACAAAACCAAACAGCACUAAAAGUGAAAACUGCACCAGAAAAAUGGCUUUAAAAGUGUGUUUUCAAACCCAAAAAUGUGUGGCAGUGUUUGGAAAGACUAAUUGAUGGUGCAAGCAAGUUUAUAUCAUCAAUAUGAAGGUGUACAAACACUCAAACAGCAAAGGAACGAACCACAACAAAAAUUCACUGGUAUACUUGCUAAAUUUUAGCAAUGUCAAUGGCUGAAAACUGAUUUUGCACUUUUGGUGAGAAAUUGACCAAAUAAAUAGUAAGUACCAGUUUGAAAAUGAUAAAAACACUUGUUCAAAUGUUACAGAAGUGCUGAAAUGGUCAAAGACUGCCAAUCAUAGUUGCUGUAAUCAAUUAUGCAGAAAUUCCACUUAAAAGUUUCACCAAAACAGGGCUGAAAUGGAACUGC
rnacentral:lncRNA from 1 species